GACAAAAAAUUGGAUAACAACCAAUUAAAGUAUUCCGGAACGUACGAGUCAAGCUAUUGUGAAGAAAGUUUUAUUUAUUACUUUUCCCUUUCUUUCUGUUUGUUGUGCAUCUUAAGGCCAAACUCGGUUAACUUUAAUCAACGAUUAAUUGAAUCACCAGUGUAGCAAAACAGUGAAAUUAUCAAUCGUAUGUCAUUCUUAACCUAUAUUUUUGUGAUAUCAAUAAUUAUUUAAAAAGUUUAUAUAUAAUACAGAAUAAACAGAAUAUUAAUUAAAAUCAAAUAAGACUGUAUAUAUUAAUAAGUACAGGCGUAAUUCUUGACUGAUAUUGAUGAACAAGGUUUCAUUUUAAAGAUUUAAUCUACGGCGUAUUAUUUUCAAAUUUUUUAAAAAGCUUGUUUUUCCUUCGAAAAAAAAAUCGUGUUAAAAGAUGAUAUUUUUCGAGAAUAGUUUAUGCACAAAUAAAAAUCUUUUUCAAAAAAAGACCUUGAUUAUCAAAAUUGAUCAAGAAUUACUUGUUCUUAUUGAUGGCAUAAGUUAUGUUUUUAACAUUUUUUGUGAAGAAAAAAUUUAGUUCUGUAGUACACCUCGAAAUUUGCGACAAAAGAAAUGAAACUCGUACUCUCACUACUGAUUUUCAUAUCACGCUUGAAUGGUGUUUUAUAUGUGAAGUAGCGAUUGCUUGUUUGAUUAUGUGCGUAAAUAGCUUUUGAACAUUUUCGGACGCAAAGAAAUACGUUUCACAAUGCUCAUAUAGAGAAGCUACGGUAACUCACUCGAUCAUUUUAAUGAGCUUUGGCUAGAUGAUUCUAUGACAAAAAUAUACAUGUGCAAUCGUUUAUAUCAAGGGAUUUGAAUUUCUAAAGUAUCGUUAAAUUUUGGAAAAAUUAGGUUUUAUUGACUAAUAAGAUAGAGAUUCUAUAAUCAAUGUAUAGCACAUUGGCAAGUAUCUAUUCGUAAUUCAAAAAACCUUGGGUUCUCUCGAGGCUUCAAUGAUUCCGGUGGUUUUUUUUAUUGCAUCGAUGUAAACGAAAAUAAUGAAUUAAUUAUACUCUUUUUCUCCUUAUUAUUUAAUAACUUAGUAAGGUAUUACUAUCCAAUUUCUUAUAUUUAUUUCUUCUACUGAUGGCUGAUCUGUGAUAGAUAGGAUACAACAGCAGUAUAAUUUUGUUCGAUGAUAAAUGCAUAUGAAAUACCAAUACGGAAAGACGCUUAAAAUUCCAAAAAGAGCUGAGAUCAUGCAUGUCGCUAUCGUGACGUUUACAAGCAAUUGACUAGUCGACCGUCGUCACAAAAACUAAUCACUGACUUUAUAGUAUCAAAGAACAAAUCAAUUGAAAUCCUAUCUUCAAGCGACGAAAGCGAUUUUGAACCAAUUCAUCACAAGAAGAUGCGCGUUUUGGAUUACGAUGAGUAGCACCAAACUAUUUAAUGUAUAAUUUGAAAACUUCUCCAUGUAUAUGUACAAUGAAGAAUUAAAUAUUUGUACAAUUUCUUCAGAUCUAAUUUAAUUAUUUGAUUUAAUUGAAAGCAUUCUCUCAUCUAUUUCAUAAAUCAUUGAUGUAUUUUCUAAGUUCGACUUUUUUUAUGCGGUCCCUGUCCACCGCAUAAAAAAAAUUUUAGGUAGUAUAUCGUACAAAGUUGCUUAUUAUAUGUAAGAAUUUAUAAAAUUUCCGAAUAUUUUUUUGUACGAUUUCUUUUAUGCGGUCCCUAUCCACCGCUCAAAAACAGGUUUUACUGUAUUGCUAUUACUAUAAUAAUAAUAUGUAAUAUAAUAAUACAGUAAUAAUAAGAAGAAACAGAAGAAUAUACUUGUAUUAUAUAUCAUGACACAUGAUGAUGAAAUAUUUAUGAUAACAAAAAAGGAAAAAUUUAUCAUUUUACAUGGUGUUGGACGCGCGAACUUUCAACAAAUCGUGUCGACACAUGACAACUGCCCAUCUAAUGCGAUAUGAAAAAACGUUUCUUUUGUUUUCGUCCACUAUCGUUUCUUCUUGUUUUACUAACUUAUGAUCGUUAUGCAUUUAUUUUACACUGUUUCUUACUUAUAUUCAGUCGAAGCUGAUUGUCUUUACUAUUAUAAUAUAAAAUUUAUUAAAUAAUAUCUAGAUGUAUAUAAAUAAUAUUUAAGAACAUUUUUAUUAUUAUAUUAUAUUAUAUUAUAUUAUAUUAUAUUAUUAUUAUUAUUAUCAGUAGUAAUGGUAAUAGUAGUAGUUGUAAUAGUCGAAGUAGUAUAGAGGGCGCUAGUCUUAUAGGAGAAAGACGUAAAAAAAGCGUUAGUAGUUCUACUUCAUAGGUAGUGUAGAAAUAAGUUCAUAUUUUAAUUUGUAUUAAAAUAAUAUAAUAUAUAUAAGUAUUUAUUAAUUAUUUUUAAAAAAGUAUUGGACAAAUUCUUAUUUUUGUCGCAGAUUUAUAUACUAAUUUUUAUAUGUGUCAAUUAUAUUUAUUAUUUUUUAUGCAUUUAUCGGUAACCAAAUGUAUAUCGACAUCGUAUCUAGCAUGCAUCUAUCAUCUACAAAAUGCAUGCUACCAUCAAAGAAAAACAUAUUUAUGAGAAACUGAAAAAUGUGAGUUGACGGUCUAUUGAACUACUUACUGUAACUCACACGAAACCGAUUAUUCUGUACGCGUGAAGAAGACAACCAAACAAGCUUAUAUACCAAUAUGAUAUUGGCAUGGUGAGGACAGCGUUCUCUGCUUGUUUCGUAGUUCAUAUUUUGUCCAUACUCGUCAUUGAAGCUACAUGAGCUUUGAAGAAAAGAUAGUGAACAGCCUUAAGAGAAUUCAUAUAUGUAUUUCUAUACUAUAUAUAACAUUUUUAAAUGAUUAUUGAUAUCAUAUAAAUAUAGGUUAAGAAUGAUAUAUAUUGGAUUGGCAACUAAGUGAUUGCGAAUUUUGUCGUUUCCUUCUUAUUUGAAAUCCGGCAAUCACUUAAUUGUCAACCCAAUAGUUAAAAGUUCUGUUUUGCUACAUUGUCGAUCGAGUUAAUCGAACUUAAUUGAAGUGGCGCUCAAUUUAUUAUAUUUUUUAGUUAUCAUCGAAAAGAAGUAACAUCUUUUUUUUAAGCAAUUACAAAUAGUUAUAAAUAAAAGUUUCAUAAUAAUUGAAAAAUUUUGACGUUUGUGUUA